CCGCACGCUCCACCCGUUGUGGUGCUCCCCCGCCAAUUCCUUUAAGUUUCAGCCUUGCGGCCGUACUUCCCAGGUGGCUCGCUUCACGGCUUCCCUACGGCACCGACGACGGUCGCACCGUGGCCGACACCUAGCGAGUAUCGUUUACGGCUAGGACUACCCGGGUAUCUAAUCCGGUUCGUGCCCCUAGCUUUCGUCCCUUGCCGUCAGGUCCGUUCUGGUGAGACGCCUUCGCCACUGGUGGUCCUUCAAGGAUUACAAGAUUUCACCCCUACCCCUGAAGUACCUCUCACCUCUCCCGGCCUCGAGCCGAACAGUAUCUCCUGAAAGCCCAACAGUUGAGCUGCUGGAUUUCUCAAGAGACUUAUCCGGCCGGCUACAGACCCUUUAGACCCAAUAAUAACGGUUACCACUCGAGCCGCCGGUGUUACCGCGGCGGCUGGCACCGGUCUUGCCCGGCCCUUGCUAUGCAAUGCUUUUUAGGCAUCACGACAGCCAGAUUUGUAACCUGGCACUCGAGGUCCCCUUAUCGCCGUUGCCGGCAUUGUAAAGUUUUCGCGCCUGCUGCACCCCGUAGGGCCUGGAUUCGUGUCUCAGAAUCCAUCUCCGGGCUCUUGCUCUCACAACCCGUACCCGUCGUAGGCUAGUAGGUACGCUACACCCACUACUACCUGAUAGGCCGCAGACCCAUCCUCUGGCGCCGGAGCUUUCGAUCUCGGGGCAUUCCAGCGACCGAGAUCUAUCGGGGAUUAUACCCAGUUUCCCGGGUUUAUACCCGUCCGGAGGGUAGGUUGUCCACGUGUUACUGAGCAGUACGCCAUGUAUUGCUACAUUCGACUCGCAUGGCUUAGUCG
rnacentral:rRNA from 1 species